CACUCUUUUGACAAUAAUGCCCUUUCCUCACUUCUAUUUCGCCAUUCUUUCUCCUCACUUCUAUUUCGCCCUUCGUUUCCACUCGACUGAAACAUAUCACGCAGAUCCAAAACCCUAGCACAAUUGCUGUGCCAUCAUCUCCACACACUUGCCAGUCCUUCAAUCGAUCGCUCACGUUUCCCCUAACCCUAUAUCGUGCACCAUCAUGCUCCAUCGUUCACGCCUCCGAUCCCUGUAUUUCUGUUGUAAUUCGAUCUGGAAAUUGUGGUUGUUCUGUUCAUUGUUUUAGAUCUUCUCGAGUCAAAGAUGGGGCCUAUGGAUAUUGUUGGUAAGACCAAAGAGGAUGCUUCGUUACCGAAAGAUUCAUUUGCAGUGUUUUUAUUUUUUUAAAAGUUCGGUGCCCCAGUUCGGCGGCUAGGGUUUAGUCAGAGUUUUCCCAACGAUUGAGGUAAGUUUCGAUCUUUUUUUUUGGUUGAUUGUUGUUUGAAUCAACCUUUUUAUGUAAUUAGGUUAUUAAGGUUUGCUAUUGUUGGUUUCGUCUGUUAAUUGUCGACUUUGAUUUCAAGUCGUUUUAGUCAAGGGUGUAAGAGGGGGUUUGCAUUUGUGAAAUAAAUAAAUCAUUCGACCAUAUGAUUUUUUGACUAAUAUAUAGUAGACAAAGAGGUUUUGGAAAGGG